rnacentral:snRNA from 1 species
GUGCUUGCUUUUGCAGCAUACAUACUAAAAUUGGAACCAUGAGAGGAGAUUAGUAUGGCCCCUGCCAAGGAUGACACACAAAUUCGUGAAGCGUUCCCUAUUUUU